rnacentral:lncRNA from 1 species
GGAAUAACCAUACCAAUUAGGAGGAUGAGAUACUCUGGUAGAUUGUUGAAUGAUAGACUUUGGAGGGAUAGUUGCGAAAGAAAUACUAGAGACAGGUUCAGGAGAAGUCUUAGGUGGCGGAGCAAUUUUAGGAAGGAGUAAAAUCGGUUGACGUCGUUGAUGGACACAUCCAGGUUUGAAACACUCAAAAGAUUGUGAGUCCUCAAAGGUAAGAAGAAAAAUACCAACAAGAGAUGACUCCAUAUAGGUAAAAAAAUAUAUUAAUUCUCAAAGAAAACAACAUUCCUAGAGAUACGAAAUUUGUUAAAGCUAGGAUCAUAGUAAAUAAAAACUUUUUGUGAAGCACUAUACCCCAUAAAAGCAC